rnacentral:lncRNA from 1 species
CCAUCGGAUCGUCAUAUCAAACGGGCCAUCGCAGUAGACUGCCAGACGGUUUCUCCACCCCAAUCGCCACUCGCCACCGCCGCCCACCCGCAACUGCCGCCGACUCCUCCGCCAAUCCACCCCCACGAACGAUUCUUCCUCCGCCCCCUCGCCCCCGCCGACGCCGACGCCGCCACCCACCCACAACCACCGCCGCCUCCGCUCCAGAUCCCCCGCCGGGCAGAGUCUUACUCCUCCUCCUCCCCGCAGCCGACUCUUACUCCUCCGCCCACUCACCACGCGCGCUGCUCGCUUGCCUCCUCUUCCCAUCCACCCCAGCCGUCGACGCCGCCGUCACCCACCCGCAACCGCCGUGGACGCCACCGUUGCCGACGCCUACUACUUCGCCCACUAGCCACGCGUGCUGCCCACCUGCCUCCUCCUACCACCAGCCGCCGCCGACGACUAAUCCUCCAGAUCGCCACAGUCGCCGUGGCUGCUGCCGUUCGCGUGCUCCUCCUACCCAUCAGCCCAUUGCCCCGCGUCGCUUCGUCUCCUCACCCCGCUGCUUCUCGACACCGCCACCGCAGGAUUUGGGAGCUACAACGCAACGACGAGCUACCACCGCACCGAUCGCCAACUCUGAAUGAUUCCGAAGAUCGCCGAGCCAGCGACGAUCUCCUCCGCGGCAGCCGCUGA